CAGUCGCCACGGUAAUACGAAGGGGGCUAGCGUUGUUCGGAAUUACUGGGCGUAAAGCGCACGUAGGCGGACAUUUAAGUCAGGGGUGAAAUCCCGGGGCUCAACCCCGGAACUGCCUUUGAUACUGGGUGUCUAGAGUAUGGAAGAGGUGAGUGGAAUUCCGAGUGUAGAGGUGAAAUUCGUAGAUAUUCGGAGGAACACCAGUGGCGAAGGCGGCUCACUGGUCCAUUACUGAUGCUGAGGUGCGAAAGCGUGGGGAGCAAACAGGAUUAGAUACCCGCGUAGUCCCUGUCUCUUAUAC
rnacentral:rRNA from 1 species